AUACUUACCUGGCAGGGGUGAUUCCAUGAUCACAAAAAUGGUUUCUCCAGAGUGAGGCUUAUCCAUUGCACUCAGGAUGGGCUGACCCCUGCAAUUUUCUCAAAUUCAGGAAACUCGACUGCAUAAUUUGUGGUAGUGGGGGAAAAGUAAAUAAAAAAAAAACUUUA
ensembl:snRNA U1 U1 spliceosomal RNA